AGAUGUGCCAGACUUCUGAUUCUUGUCAAUUGAGUGAGGUGUUGCCAUCUGAACUGGAUCAGAAACUGUCCAUUUGCUCAUCGAACAGCAAGAGAGCCAGAUUGUAGGGCUAGAGUCUGAACUGCAUUGGGCCCAAUCUAAACUCCAUGAGAAAGAAGCUGAACUCCAAGCAUUGAAGGACUGCGGGCAUACAGAUGGCCACAUGGCGUUACUUCAUGUUAGUACUUGCUCGUUGAUUGUAAGUGAUCAUUGUGUGGUGACUCUGCAUUCAUUUGGAAGUGUUUGGAAUUGAUUUAUAGUUGGUCAUUGGCAUUCUCCUGGACAUGAAGAUUGUUACCAUCAAGAUGUUUGGUAAAAAAAGUUGAUGUUGGUGAUUCCUAAUAUAUUCACAGAGAGCGAGAGAUUAUUUGUUUCUCCAGAUUGCGAGUUGACAUUGGUAGGAAAGAAGGAAAAAGGUGAAGGAAAAGAUUUGAAGAGUUCCCUCUUGGCCCACCAUUUCCUUUCCACCCAAGCCAAGAUGGAAGCCAAGCAAUCCCACUUUGGCUCUGUCUGGGGUACUUGAAAGAGAAGAGGGUGAUGUUGAGGAAGUUGAUGAAUUUUCAAGGUUACAGACAGAGCUCUUUCGGAUUAAAGGAUUUGAUGAGAAAAGAAAGAAAAUGGAGAGAAAGACGUGCAAUUUUUUAGGGCUUAUAUUGGUAAUAAUAGUUUAUUUUUGAAUUUUUUAUGUUCAUGUAGUAUUUUAAUAUCUUUUUACACCUACUUCAUGCACUGUAAAUCUUGCAUUAUCAGAAAAAAGUGUAGUGAAAAAU